rnacentral:rRNA from 1 species
GACGUAGGGCGCGAGCGUUGUCCGGAUUUAUUGGGCGUAAAGAGCUCGUAGGCGGCUUGUCGCGUCGUCCGUGAAAACUUGGGGCUCAACCCCAAGCUUGCGGUCGAUACGGGCAGGCUAGAGUUCGGUAGGGGAGACUGGAAUUCCUGGUGUAGCGGUGAAAUGCGCAGAUAUCAGGAGGAACACCGGUGGCGAAGGCGGGUCUCUGGGCCGUUACUGACGCUGAGGAGCGAAAGCGUGGGGAGCGAACAGG